CAAUGUAAGUCACCGAUGAAAAAGAGUUUGAAAAUAUGAAAAAAAGUCAACAAGCCAUUAAUAGAGCAGAACAGCCUGAGCAUUUGGUAUGUGCAUAUCUCGGUCAAAUAAGUCCGCCUUCUCCCGAUGUCCUUCCUAGUUGAAGGAUGAGGAAUUAUCAGAGCAACCUCUAAUUAGAUUUAUUUAAAAAAAAUUUAUUUUAAUAAAUAUAAAAAAAUAAAAUUAAAAAAUAAAUCUGGACCGUCGACGGUCGACUAGAUUUUUCAUUUUUCCCAAAUGCAGCGAUUCAGUGAAGGUGCGGAGCAGGAGAGGCGCAGAGGAGGCAAUCCAAAGUUCUUAUUUCUACUAUCUUGGAGAUUUGAGGUUCUUCCGUGGCUGACGUGCUGCACCCACAAGAAUUGUUGAAGGCAAAGAUUUUUCAAGAUUUAAUCGCGUGCCUUAACUUUUUAUGGGAUCCAUGAUUGCUUGGUGUUUAUAUAGUUUUCUUGGGUUACGGUUUUAUCCGAAUUGAAAUCCCCUAUAGUGGCUUUGUACUUUUUUUUUUUUGGGGUCCUUUGGUGAUAUUUGGAAGGAAAUGAUUCCCGAUUCCUCUGUAAUUGUUUCUUAUAGUUUUCUAUGGUCAAGACUCCGCAUGUUUUAUUUA